CAAUGAGGAAGCAUGGUAUUGUGUGCAGAAAUCCAAUUUAGGUACUAAUGUCUGCUUGCUCUGAUGCUACUGGCUCUGAUUUUGCAGGUGUGGAAACGUACCCUCAUUU